rnacentral:rRNA from 1 species
GAUACCCUAUUAUUAUAAAUGUAUUUUUUGCCAUAAUUAUUAAGAGUUAUGAUCUUCAAAAUUAAAAAAUUCGGCGGUAUUUUAGUCUGUUCAGAGGAACCUGUUCUUUAAUUGAUAAUCCACGAUAAUUUUUACUUUAGUUUUAAAUUUUCAUAUCGUCGUUUAUAAAAAUUUUAGGAGAAUUUAUAAUUUUUAAAAUUUUUUAUUAAAUUGUAAUUCAGAUCAAGGUGUAGUUUAUAUUAAAGUUAGAAUGGGUUACAUUUUAUGUAUUAUUGGUUUAUUUAUUUUGAAUUUUUAAUAAAUUGGAUUUGAUAGU